GACAUUACAUUUCUUUGUGACAGACCGUGGUGAUGGAUGGAAAGGACAUUUUCCUGUCAUUAAAGGAUAAAGGGUCCGGUUAGCCCUAACCAUUAUCCGUUUCGAAUUCACCAUCGCAAAGACGCUUGUCCGCACCAUCAAAACUCCAUCAAUGUACUCCAGUCUAAGAGAAGAUCGGAAAUCCUCAAAUGGGUAAAUAUCGUUUUCUACGAAAAUAACCAUAUGAACUUAACUGUUGUUCCCAUGUCUUUUGCCUCGUGUACGACGUCUCUGAUUGGUACGUUCCUGUCCGUAGAUGCUGUCCUUCAUGUACGCCCACCUGACCUUCUUCCACCAGGGUUACGACCUCUUCAGUGAACUACAACCUCUCAUGGAACAGCUGGGGGGACAGGUAGGCCUUUACCCCAUUUACUCCCAUUAAACUGUAACUGUAUCUCCACCUGGCCCAUCC